rnacentral:rRNA from 1 species
CAACGGAUAUCUCGGCUCUCGCAUCGAUGAAGAACGUAGCGAAAUGCGAUACUUGGUGUGAAUUGCAGAAUCCCGUGAACCAUCGAGUCUUUGAACGCAAGUUGCGCCCCAAGCCUUUUGGCCGAGGGCACGUCUGCCUGGGUGUCACUAACCGUCGUCCCC